rnacentral:misc_RNA from 1 species
GGUGAAGAACGCAGCGAAAUGCGAUAAGUAAUGUGAAUUGCAGAAUUCAGUGAAUCAUCGAAUCUUUGAACGCACAUUGCGCCCGCCAGUAUUCUGGCGGGCAUGCCUGUUCGAGCGUCAUUACAACCCUCAGGCCCCCGGGCCUGGCGUUGGGGAUCGGCGGAGCCCCCCGUGGGCACACGCCGUCCCCCAAAUACAGUGGCGGUCCCGCCGCAGCUUCCAUCGCGUAGUAGCUAACACCUCGCGACUGGAGAGCGGCGCGGCCACGCCGUAAAACACCCAACUCUUCUGAAGUUGACCUCGAAUCAGGUAGGAAUACCCGCUGAACUUAAGCAUAUCAAUAAGCGGAGGA